AGCACCUUCAGGAAUAGCAGUAUGAAUGUAUCCUAGUGUACUGUCUUCUUGCUUAAUUCUCUCUUUCCAUCUCUUUUUGUACUGACAUUGCCACAUUGAAAAUCACCAUUUUUCUUUCUUUCUUGGUUGGAUUUGACUUGUUCCUUCUUUCUGGAGUGUGUUUUGAUUUCAUGGAGGAAUUUAAUCAUGUUUAGAAGAAUUGUCAGCAAAAAAGGUUUCUUCUAAUCUCAACGUUGUACAACUCAUAUGCCGCUCCAUUAGAAGGAAAGCUAACAAUGCUUACUGUCUUUUGUUUCCUUCCACGCCUAUUGUUUACUACCUCAGACAACCUUCUUGUCUCAAUUAAGGAAAAUAUCAAAUGGGCGGAUGCACAAGUGAAUUGGAGAGGAAGCUACUAAAGCGAAGUAGCAAAAAGAGUUGUGGACGUGAAGAAAUCUCUUGUUGGUGAACUAGUUGCAUUUUCAAGAAUCCAUCCUAAUUGUUUGAUCCAAUCACUAUUUAAUUAUAAAGACGUACAACUAUGCAUAAUUUCAUUCUUGGAAUUAGUUAUAGAGAUCUUCUGUUUACAAAUAGUUUAUUUCGAUUCACAUUCUCUAUGUGAAUGACAUUUGUAACUAUAUAAUGUUGAUAUUUGAUGGUUAUGAUUUCUA